rnacentral:rRNA from 1 species
UUUAAAGUCUGAUCUGCCCUAUGAGGAGUUAAAUGGCCGCAGUAUUUUGACUGUGCGAAGGUAGCAUAAUAAUUAGUUUUUUAAUUGAAAGCUGGAAUGAAUGAUUGGACGAGAAAAAAUCUGUCUCAAUUUUAUUUAAUUAGAAUUUUAUUUUUAAGUAAAAAAGCUUAAAUAUUUUUAAAAGACGAGAAGACCCUAUAGAGUUUUAUAUAUUUAUUUUUUAUUUAUUUUUUAGUAUUAUAGAAUUUAUAUGAUUAAAUAGUAUUUAGUUGGGGUGACUAAAAAAUUAAUUAAACUUUUUUUUUAUUAUUACAUUAAUAUAUGAUUAAUUGAUCUAUUUUUUAUGAUUAUAAGAUUAAAUUACCUUAGGGAUAACAGCGUUAUUUUUUUUUAGAGUUCUUAUUGAAAAAAAAGUUUGCGACCUCGAUGUUGGAUUAAAAUUAAUAUUUGGUGAAGAAGCUAAGUUAUUGGGUCUGUUCGACCUUUGAAAUUUUACA